UUAAUCUGAAUGAAGAAAUUUGUAUAAAUCCCUCUUAUGGUCUGUCAGAAAAUCUCACAUGGAGUUAAAUUCUGUAUCUUAAACCAGAUUCAUCUUUUUAAUGUGAAGUGUUUUCUAUUCUCUUCAUGUCUGAAAUUACAGGGCUCUUAUGAAGUGAUACAUAUGCCAAAACAUUGCAAACAAAACUUUCUAAGCAGCAAAUGAAAAUAUUAAAUAUUUGCUUUCAAAACUUUUUUUUUUGCUUUAAAAAAUGUUUAAAGCAUUUCUUGUCAUGGUCAGACGUGGAAAGAAAAGUGACCCAAACGCUGAAACCUAGGGAUGGCCCGUUUGACACGGGGCUUCGGCGCGCGGUUCACCUUCAUGAAACAGAGUGUUUCGGCACAAUGUUUCAAAGCGUGUGUCAACCAGCGCAGAUCACGUGAUUGAUGACGUAUGACGCGCCAAAUGCAUCACUCACCUGAACCAGGUUUCAGAUAUCAGGUGUGUUUGAUCAGAAGGGCGAGCUGUUGUCUAUAAAUACAGAUGAAUCCCAAACAACGUUUCCCGACCAGUUCUGUUGUUUCCCGUGUAUCGUAAGAAUCAACGUCAUGGCACCCGGUAAAAAACGUUCUGUGGCUUGGGAUCAUUUCAACUUGAUUUCUCCAAAUAAGGUGCAAUGUUUGAUUUGCAAACAUGAAUUUGCAUUUAAUGAUAGUACGUCCUCCAUGAUGCGACAUCUCCGCUCCGUUCAUCAUGUUGAAACUCCGCAGUCGGCAAAUCAAGCCUUCAAUCCACCUUGUAUUGUGUCAAGAAAGCAAGAACUUGAUUCUGCAUUGGUGGAUAUGAUUGUAAUUGAUGCACAACCAUUUUCAAUUGUUGAAGACAAAGGCUUCAAGGCUUUUGUCAACCUUUUGGACCCAUCCUACAUAAUUCCUAAUAGGAAGGCCUUGAGGACAAUGGUGGAGGAGAAGUACAAAGCCAAAAAGGAGAAGGCUUUAGAUGUGGUUAGCAGGGCCUCUGCUGUCAGCCUUACAGCAGACAUGUGGACAUCCAUUAACAUGGACGCUUACUUGGCUGUAACAUGCCAUUUUAUCACCGAGGAGGUGGAGCUGGCCUCUGUGGUCUUGGGGGUUCUGAAGUUUCCCCAAACCCACACUGCAACUCACUUGGCUGAGGCCAAAAAUCUUCUCAUGGAAGAAUGGGGAAUUAAAAGGAAGGUGCGAGCCAGAUCAAUAAAGUACAAAAUCAUUCAUCAAUAUGGCCUCCCAAUACCUAAUAUACAUGAUUUGUGAACAUGUAAUCUUUCUUCCAGGUGACAGGCCUGGUUACAGACUGUGCUCCCAACAUGGUUGCAUGUGCUAAUAUAUUACUGCUUCGGCACAUAAUGUGUUUUGCACAUAUGCUUAAUUUGGUGGUGAAAAAGUCCCUUGCCCAAACCCCUGAACUAGAGGAUAUCCGAAGUAAGGGGCGUAGGAUUGUCGGUCUUUUUAAAUCCAGCACCACAGCGAAGGAGAAGCUGUCAGAGAUGCAGCGACAGCUGGCCAGGCCAGAGCACAAAUUAAUACAAGAGGUGGAAACAAGAUGGAACAGCACAUUUAAUAUGUUGGAAAGGUUGUUUAAGGAGAGAGAGCCACUGGGGGCAGCUCUGGCCACCCUCCAUACAGACCUUCCUCCACUCACCUCAGAGGACUACCAGGCCAUACACCACUGCUUGAGCGUUCUUUCACCGUUUCAAGAGGCCACAGUUGAGCUUUCGACAGAAAAACGAGUGUCAGCAUCCAAAGUCAUUCCCAUGGUCAAAAUGCUGAAACAUUACAUCUCAAGCAGGUGUGGUCAGAUCACACACCCACUUGGUGAAAAACUGGCCACUAACUUGAAGAACAAUCUCCAUGAGAGGUUUUCAGCUCUGGAGAAGGUCACUGCUCUGUCAAUGGCAACCUUGUUGGACCCAAGGUUUAAAGAGCUGGGGUUCUGCAGCCAAGGCUCUGCCCACACGGCCAUAGAGCGACUCACUAAAGAGUGUGCUGCAACAAUGCAGGCGCUACUUCCAGAGGCACAGCCACAGUCGCCACCUAGAGAAGGUCCUUCAAGUUAGCAGGAAGAUGGUGGUCUCUGGGCCCUGCUGGACAGGCAUGUGGGGGUUCAACAGCAGGUGACCAGCACAACUGCCAGUGCAACAGUGGAGGUUCAGAGGUACUUAAAGGAACCUCACAUCCCAAGGACUCAGGACCCACUGAGAUACCGGGUUACCCACAAGGUUUUAUACCCACAUCUCUACAAGCUGGCAAUGACGUUUUUAUGCACACCAGCUUCAUCUGUGCCUUGUGAGAGGAUCUUCUCCAAGGCUGGCGAAAUCGUCAGCCAAAGACGAAACAGGCUGAAGCCCAGCACAGUGGAGAAAAUUCUGUUUUUUAAUAAAAAUCUACAACAUGUAUCCCACCCAGUCAUGUUAGACCCUGGUUCACAAUCACUCAUUCUCACUUCAUACAUGGCAUUCACAAUGUAACACAAGCACUUCUCACAAAUCUUCAAACAUUGUCUUUGUUUUAUUUCCACACUGAAGUGUUACAAGGGCAAGGAACUUAGUGGAGUAGAUGAUAUACGUCCUGUCUGCCACCAGAUGCCGCUGUUCUGUGUGGUUUCGAAGCCCCAAAUGCUUCAUUCAUUUUUCUGGCACAUUUACACGAAGCCCCAUGAGAGCUUCAUGGGGCUUCGAUUCCCAUCCCUAGUC